CCUACGGGAGGCAGCAGUGAGGAAUAUUGGUCAAUGGGCUUACGCCUGAACCAGCCAAGUCGCGUGAGGGAAGACUGCCCUAUGGGUUGUAAACCUCUUUUGUCAGGGAGCAACGCCGGCUACGUGUAGCCGGACUGAGAGUACCUGAAGAAAAAGCAUCGGCUAACUCCGUGCCAGCAGCCGCGGUAAUACGUAGGAUCCGAGCAUUAUCCGGAGUGACUGGGUGUAAAGAGUUGCGUAGGUGGCAUAAUAAGUAGCUAGUGAAAUCUGGUGGCUCAACCAUUCAGACUAUUAGCUAAACUGUUAAGCUCGAGACCGUUAGGGGUAACUGGAAUUUCUAGUGUAGGAGUGAAAUCCGUAGAUAUUAGAAGGAACACCAAUAGCGUAGGCAGGUUACUGGGACGGUUCUGACACUAAGGCACGAAAGCGUAGGGAGCAAACGGGAUUAGAUACCCUUGUAGUC
rnacentral:rRNA from 1 species